rnacentral:sRNA from 1 species
CCACGUUUUGAAUCCUCUGAAAUUGUUUUAUUAUGGAAUCAUUGAGAUUUUGCAUUAGUGUCCUAUUGUAGCCCUUUCUUAUUUUACGAUUAUCAAGUAUUCCUUUCCUAGUUCAGACUGCAAGAACCAUUGCUUCCAUUUCCAUAUUUGCAUAUGCUGUUUAGCUGCUGUGCAGACGGCAGUCCACAGGGAAAACUUGGGACUACCAAUUAUCAAUUCAAUAUGUCGCAACGCCAUUAACGAAAGCUGUAAUAAAAUUAACGCAGCACGCAGUCGAAAUGUUUGUCCACGUGUGCAUAGACAAGAGAGGCACAGCUGGGUUUGUUAAAGAUGCUGAUGAAACGAAAACUGAAUCUCUAGAAAUGUCGUGCUUUUCUUAAAGCCGCUUCAUUCAGCUCAUUCCCCUUUAAUGAUGACAACAGACAGAUAUGGCCCUCUGACAUUGCCUCUUCAGAGAAAUAUUCUAUUCUUAUAUUACAAUGAAAGACGAGGAAGCAGCACUAUACCAUGAAUGUUAUCAAGAAUUCAUAUUGAAGAUAAUUGGAGCACCCAGUUUAAUGAAUCGCCAUUCUCAGUUUAAAAAUAAAAAAUCAACUACCAAGUUUGACCUGCUGAAACGUCGAGACCAUUUCCACGUUGUCAGGAAAACUACAAAAUGGUGAGGAAACCACGAUUCAUUUAAAAAUUGUGAUAGCAAAGUAGCAAUACUUACCCACGUAUCGCAGCUUAAAUGGAAAAUCCCCGGAAAAUCAAUAACUCGCUGGAGACAUCGUGAAUUUGCAACUUUAAGCCUUGCCAAUCAUGAAUAAAAGCUGCAUUUUCACGAAA